AGAGCCCCACGGAGGAUUACAUUUGCAUAACUACUAAGGAUCACUGCCUCUUGUGCCUGGAGGGAAUAAAAGAAGCCUGGGUGAGCCUGCCCUGCACUGGGUCUCAGGAAGCAGAGCUCUGGGCACGCCCACCAUGGCCUGGACCCCUUUCCUGCUCCCCAUCCUCACCCUCUGCACAGGCUCCAUGGCCCCCACUGGGUUGAAUCAGGCUCCCUCCAUGUUGGUGGCCCUGGGACAGAUGGAAACAAUCACCUGCUCCGGAGAUAUCUUAGGGAAAAGAUAUGCAUAUUGGUACCAGCAUAAGCCAAGCCAAGCCCCUGUGCUCCUAAUCAAUAAAAAUAAUGAGCGGGCUUCUGGGAUCCCUGACUGGUUCUCUGGUUCCAACUCGGGCAACAUGGCCACCCUGACCAUCAGUGGGGCCCGGGCUGAGGACAAGGCUGACUAUUACUGCCAGUCCUAUGACAGCAGUGGAAAUGCUCACAGUGACACAGACAGAUGGGGAAGUGAAACAAAUCCCCUUCUCCGUAUGAGUCAUUCUCUCCUCUGGCGACAGGAGGCCCAUGGACAAGCAGGGGGCAGGUCUGGCCCAGGCCCUCAUAUGUGAAGUUCCCUGGCCUCCACCCCCACCCCCUGCUUACCAGGAGCUCUGCACAGGGACGGACAAUGGGGCAUUUGUGCUGAGAGACUCGGUUGCCCUGGUCUCUGGGC